GACGAACGCUGGCGGCGUGCCUAAUACAUGCAAGUAGAACGCUGAAGGAGGAGCUUGCUUCUCUGGAUGAGUUGCGAACGGGUGAGUAACGCGUAGGUAACCUGCCUGGUAGCGGGGGAUAACUAUUGGAAACGAUAGCUAAUACCGCAUAAGAGUAGAUGUUGCAUGACAUUUGCUUAAAAGGUGCAAUUGCAUCACUACCAGAUGGACCUGCGUUGUAUUAGCUAGUUGGUGGGGUAACGGCUUACCAAGGCGACGAUACAUAGCCGACCUGAGAGGGUGAUCUGCCACACUGGGACUGAGACACGGCCCAGACUCCUACGGGAGGCAGCAGUAGGGAAUCUUCGGCAAUGGACGGAAGUCUGACCGAGCAACGCCGCGUGAGUGAAGAAGGUUUUCGGAUCGUAAAGCUCUGUUGUAAGAGAAGAACGAGUGUGAGAGUGGAAAGUUCACACUGUGACGGUAUCUUACCAGAAAGGGACGGCUAACUACGUG
rnacentral:rRNA from 1 species